UGAGACCUAAGAAUUUCUAACCAUGGGAGCUAAGAUAACUGGAGUUGGUCUCUGCUCUCCUCUCACAGUGACUACAAUUCCCCUGUAUUGUUUUAAAGGUGAUUUCUAGGUGUCAAAUGCUGCAUCCAACCACUUUCUCAAAUGCCUUCUCUGGCUGCAAAUGGAAGAUUUGAAAUUGGAUCAUUUAAACAGGGACUGACAAAAGAGAUGUGAGACAUGUCCCAAAAGGCAUCCGUGACAAGGCCUGGGGAGAAUGCCCCCUGGAUAAUCUCACUGGCUGCCAAACCUGAGAACUGGAUUCAAUCCUGGGGACCCUUGUGGUUGAAGGAGAAAAACAACUUUCACUAGUUAUUCUCGGACCAACACUGGGGCUCCAUGAACACAAGUCUGAGGUCAGAGGAUUCCAUGAAGAGUUCAGAGCAUGAGUAGCUACAACUCGUUUGCUUCACAAGGAGUUUAAAAAUGUAUGACAAUACAAAAUGUUCAUCCCAAUUACACAUUUUCUUUGAUUAGCACAAUAUACAAUAUCCAAGUCCUCUCAUGUACUGUACUGCAUAUACAUAAAACUUAUUUUAGAAGGUAAACAGAUUUCAUUAUACAGAAUCACCAGAGAAUGUCAAUAUAAUCAAUGAACUAUUGGGUUUAAGGAAAAUUCCUCACAAUGUUUAGCAUUUGCUAAUUGGCAUACUGGAUAAGCAAUGUUGCUUCAAAACCAGUUGUUAAAUUAAAAUUUUCACUCUCUGAGCUCCCCUGUUCAUUCCCAUAAAUGGAGAUGUAAAUAAAAUCUAUGCAUGCACAUCAUUUCUGAGAGACCUCAUCUGGGCAGUCCCACCUUACUCUAGCCUGCUAUCUCAGCCUAGGUAAAUGACAGUCAUUGUCUUUAUCAGUUCAUGUAUACUUUGAAAUAAGGCAUCACUUAAACAAUAACUUCCUUAAACCUAAAGGCAGUCUAACCACAAAUCAUAAAUAAUUCCAGAAUAUUCUUAAGAAUGCUGUUUGACACAGAAGUGGAUGCUCACAGU
rnacentral:lncRNA from 1 species